AGUAAUGCAAGUGAUGCUCUUGAUAAGCUGAUGUUCUUAAGUGUAACGGAUCCCUCAUUACUUGGAGAUGCUGAGACACUGGUAUUGGAAUGACCAAAGAAGAACUAAUAAACUGCCUUGGAACCAUUUCUCAAAGUGUUUUAAGAUUCCCAGAAGCUAGUGUAAGGUUUUUACCACCUCAGCAUUGCCAGGUCGACGCCUAGCUGUCACAACAGGAAUUCGCUGGACAAACAAAAACAUUACAGGUUGACGCCUACUUUCGGUUUUAUUAUUAUUAUAGCAGUGAAAAUUGUUGGGAUUUGGAUGAGAUUGCUAUACUUGGGUAAAUUUUCUUAAAAUAAACAACUAAAUACAAGUAUAUUUUCUUUAUCAACAUUGGGUAGAAACUAGAUAACAUAUUUACAAGAUUGUAAUUGUAAUACCUUUCCGGAUGCCUUUUCAAAAGCUGCUACCAUCUCCAACACAUAUGUGCCCUUACCCGUUCCUAAGUUGUAGACUUCACAGCCUAAAAAAAAGAUAAUGGUUUGAUUUAAUGUCAAACAGAACAAAAUUUCCAAAACUAAAAAAUGUCAUCUGCAAUCAGAAAGAGAUACACACCUAUAUUACGGUCCGAGAGUAUCUUCAAAGCAGCAGUGUGUCCAUCUGCUAAAUUUACAACAUGGAUGUAAUCACGUACCUGAAAUUUGAGGGUAGAAAAGGUAAAUAUCAACAUCAUAAUUCCCAACAAACAGCAACAGGAGGAAAACUCAAUAGAACCUUAAAUAAGGGAAUUUCAAAUUCCAACAAACAGCAACAUAACACAAAAAAGAAACCAACCCAAAGUAUAGAUAGAUGCAGAAAGCAUAAAUAUUCACUGAAAUAGAAAUUAAAGAUUGAGUUAAGUAAAAGAAAAGAUGUCAUACCAUCUUGCAUUACAGUUUCCUCAUGUUGUCUAAGACGCAUCACAAGGGCUAAGUAAAAGAAAAGAUGUAAUACCAUCUUGCAUAACUGUUGAAAUUAACAUGAACAUUAGUUGCACAAAAAACGUAUAUGAUGAUUAUGGUACACUAUGUAUAAUAUAAGGGUGUACUUUGAACACAUAGUUAUGUGUUUAUGCGAAUAUUGUAGUAAAAGCAAGAGAAAGCAGAAGGCUCAGAAGCAGGCUGGAUCGAGAUAUGGACAUCAUGGGGAUCUUGUGUUCAGGCUUUGAGCUUGUUUCUGAACCCUUCUGAGUGAAGAAGUAUGAAGGUUAAUUUGUGUUUAGAUGACGAUGAGGGGUGGAUUUAUAUGUAGAGGAAGAUGAUAGAUAGGAAGAAGACUACCCAAUCUCAUAUUCUCCCCAAAUCACUCCAAACCCUAACCCCCAAUUCACUAAUUCAAUAGUGGGAUUAAUUUUGUAUUUACGGGAAGAUACAUAGGAAGAAGAUGAAUACGAAAGUAAAUACGUACCGUUGAAUAUUUUUCUCCUUCUUCAGCCUUGACUUUUGAAAAUCUUCCACCUCUUCAUCCUCUUACCCUCUUCCCACACAGAAAAAGUGAGGACUCCAGAGUAGUCAACCGUGUUAUGUAAUUGCUUCACCAUUGGGCCCCACCGUAAGUUGCAGUAGGGCGUUGUCAACGUGAAGAGUUGCAGAUCCCCAAUCGCCGGUUCUAUGAAGGAUUUUGUGAUGUCCGCAUCCCUAGUUC